rnacentral:rRNA from 1 species
GGGGGCCCGCAAGCGGUGGAGCAUGUGGUUUAAUUCGACGCAACGCGAAGAACCUUACCUGGGCUCGAAAUGUGCAUGAAUCCGGCAGAAACGUCGGCGUCUCGCAAGAGACAUGUAUAUAGGUGCUGCAUGGCUGUCGUCAGCUCGUGUCGUGAGAUGUUGGGUUAAGUCCCGCAACGAGCGCAACCCUUAUCUUCAGUUGCUACCAUUUAGUUGAGCACUCUGACGAAACCGCCUCGGAUAACGGGGAGGAAGGUGGGGAUGACGUCAAGUCCUCAUGGCCUUUAUGUCCAGGGCUACACACGUGCUACAAUGGCCGGUACAAACCGCUGCAACCCCGCGAGGGUGAGCUAAUCGGAAAAAGCCGGCCUCAGUUCGGAUUGGAGUCUGCAACUCGACUCCAUGAAGCUGGAAUCGCUAGUAAUCGUGGAUCAGCAUGCCACGGUGAAUACGUUCCCGGGCCUUGUACACACC